ACCAACCUCGCGGAAAAGCUGCGGCCCCAGCUCCGGGGACUGGAACGCAGGCUCGGGGCGCCUCCCCCUUCCCUGGCUGGCAAAGUCCUGUCCUCCAUCUCGCCUCCAUCCCCUCCUCCCCUGCGCUGGCAGAAUGCGCAACGUGUCCCUUCUCGGUGGCCCUGGAAUUUUCUGUGCGUCUCUGAAUCAUGGCACCGGUCUUGCUCCAUUGGUUUUGACUGCUGGUCUUGGUCUCCUUCGUCCACCUUUGCGAACUCAUCACCCUUUGCUCUCUAGGACCCACCGGCCACUUCUAAAAGGGCACCAUAGUUCAUAGGUGGAUUGAUCUAGAAAGGUGCCUCCUUCAUUCUCCCCCACGAUUUCUGGGUUGAAAGCCUGGUGGAGGCAGGGGGACAAUUACAGUGACUUUCACAGAUCCCAAUCGCGACAGUGAUUCAGGACCAAGUCAGUACUCCCCCACCCCCAGGGUCGAACAAGAAAUGCAGAAGGUGGCAGGAAAUUAGAACUAAGGGGAGUGGACCUUAUUGUGCAGGCUGAAAUGCCCACCUUCAAGUUAAAAGAUGCAGCAAGACAAGACGCCUGGCUCAGCAGCGUGUUCAAAUAGAGUGUUGGCUUAAUGGAAUUUAUGUGUGAGCCAGUCGUGUUGAUUUUUGAUUUAAAAUAGCCCCUUGUUUUAUUUGCUCCUGGAGUGACUGCAUUAGGAAGCUCCUUUCUGAAAGCUAUGGUUAAAUCUGCCACAAAGGCAGCCCUGGCCCUCACAAGAUGUUUGAUGAGUGAAUGAACGCUGUUCCCGGCAGUCAGGGCCCUUGAAUGAAGGUAGUAUGAACUCCAGUUCCUCAUCCUGGCUGGGUCAUAUACUUCUUCUUCCUCUUUUUUUUUUUUUUUUUUUUUUUGGGGGGGGAUGGAGUCUUGUUCUGUUGCCCAGGCUGGAGUGCAGUGGCACCAUCUCAGCUCACUGCAACCUCCACCUCCUGAGGUCAAGCGAUUCUCAUGCCUCAGCCUCCUGAGUAGCUGGGACUACAAGCCUUCACCACCAUGCCUGGCUAAUUUUUGUAUUUUUGUAGAGAUGAUGUUUCACCAUGUUGGCCAGGCUGAUCUCGAAUUCCUGACCUCAGGUGAUCCACCUGCCUCGGCCUCUCAAAGUGCUGGGAUGACAGGCAUGAGCCACCACGCCAGGCCCGUCAUAUACUUCUCCUGUGACUUUAGACAACUUAUAAUUUUUUUUGAGCCUCAGACUCCUCACUUUUAAAAAGAGGCUAAUAAAUCCUCAAAAGGUAAAUGGAGAAUUACCCUAUGAGCCAGCAAUUCCACUCCUAGUCAUAUACCCAAAAGAAUUAAGAACAAGUACCCAAAACGAUACUUGUGCACAAAUGUUCAAGGCAGAAUUAUUCACAAGAGCCAAAAGUGGAAACAAUCCAAGUGUCCAUCAACGAAUGAAGAAAAUGCAAUAUUACCCAACCAUAAAAAAGGAAGGAAAUUACGACACUUGCUACAACAUGGAUGAAUCUGGAAAACAUGCUAAGUGAUAAAAACAGACACAAAAGGCCACACACAAUAUGUGAUGAAAUAUUGUGAUUCCAUUUACGUGACAUAUCCAGAACACGUAAAUCCACAGAGACAAAACACAGCUGGUGGUUGCCAGGGGCUGGGGGCAGGGAGAAUAGGAAGUCACUGCUUAAUGGGCAUGGGGUUUCCUCUGGGGGUGAUGAAAAUGUUUUAGAACCAGAUAGAGGAGCUGGCUGCAUGACACUGUGAAGGUACUAAGUGCCACUGGAUUGUGCAUGCUUUAAAAUGGUUACUUUUAUGUUAUGUGAAUUUCAUCUCGAUAAAAAACUUUUUAACGGGGCUAAUAAUAAAAAUACCUGCCCAGCCUGGCGUGGUGGCGUGCGCCUGUAAUCCCAGCUACUGGGGAGGCUGAGGCAGGAGAAUCACUUGAACCUGGGAGGCGGAGGUUGCAGUGAGCCGAGAUGGCACCACUGCACUCCAGCCCGGGAGACAGAGCGACACUCUGUCUCAAAAUAAAUAAAUAAAUAAAAUAAAGAAAAAACCUGCCCAAGGAGUAAAUGUGAUAAUCUAUGGAGCGAUGUUUGAGCAACUUAAAAACCCUAUUUCCUGAUUCUCUCUGCCUUAUUUCUAGAGUGGAUCAUUAGGGCAUCACUUUUUCAAACAUACAGCUAAAACUGAGGCAACCUGAGGCCCACCCAGCACCAACUGGAGCGUCAACCAGGAACAGAACCUUGUACUGUCCUGAGGUCCCUUGGCUAGGAAGCUGCAGCCAUGUGGAUCCAUGUAAACAAGAGGCUUCCUGCUGUUAAUCUAAACUCCAGGGCCAGAGCCCUGCACAGCAGUCAGUCCUACAGGCAGAAGAGCCUUGAGGCACCAUGAAAACCACUUAAAACUUUUUUUUUUUUUUUUUUGGAGACAGGAUCUUGCUGCGACCCCGCCAGUGCAGUGCAGUGCAGAGCUGCAAUCACGGCUCACUAGGCUCAAGCAAUCCUCCCACGUCAGCCUCCAGAGUAGCUAGGGCUACAGGUGUGCACCACCACCACACCUGCCUCCCCUGAAAACUGAAUGGGAGGAUUGGGCACUUCAACUAAACACAAAAUACAACUUAAAGAAAAGCAAUUCAAUACAGGCUUCUCAGAGGGAAGAACCACAGAACUGGUGCUAUGGUAGGCUGCUCAUGCCAAGAGCCAGGCGCCUGGGCUGGAAUCUGCCCCAGCUCUACCACCUUCCAUAUGGGGCACCUCGGCCAGGAGUCAAUUUUCUUAUCUAACAAAUGGGGCUUACUGAAGCACCUACCACACAGGGCUGCAGUCAGGAUUAGGCUCAUAAACACAUGGGCCAGAAAGAGAGUAAGUGCUUAACAAAUGUUAGCUGGUGUUGUUGAGGAAAAGGUGAUGGAUGAAAAGAAACAUUGGUUUUGCUCUUUGGGGCACCUGGUGGGGUGAGGAAGACUGGAGUCCCCUUAGAGCAGCUAACCAAGCUGGGCUGCAGCCUUUAGACGUCCCCUUGCUACACAGAAAGUGGCCCUGCUAACCCAGCUCAGCUUAGAUCACUUAAAGGAGCAAGGGGCUGUGAAGUCAUUUAAAGCAACAUGAAGCACUGUAGGCAGGAUGUGGGCAGGGGAAACUCAGGGUCAAACGACAGUGACAAAAAGGGAGAGAGAAGGUCAAAAGGGAUAUUCUAAAACUAAAGCAAGGAGCAGCUGGUAGGUAUUGGGAGUGGGUCAGGAGUGGGGAUGACUCGUAUUUCAGGGGUCUCACCGGACACAGGAAGAGCCUUCUUUUGUUGUAACAGUGAAAAGGGAGCUCUGAAAUGUUGUCCCCUGCCAUGGGAGCACUUGGAAAGUCCAGUUCUCAAAGCAGAAUUCACCACACAAGCAGCUCCUUCCGAGGAAAACCACGAAUGCCGUAAACUCCACAGAGACAAGGACCCUCCGUGCAGGCGGCCCUUACCUGCUCGUCUAGUUCCCACCUGAAUUGAAAACCUCAUCAUGAGCGUGCACCUUUCUGCAAAUCAGCAAAGACCGACAGCCUUUUAGCAGCUAAAGAAAGGCCUGCAAGGUGCAGAAGUUAAUAGGAAUUAGGACAUUGUGUGGUUUUCUGUGGUGAAACCCAUACUCGUCCUUUGUCAUAUCAACCACCAUCCUCAUCAUCCUACUACCCUCCCCGUGCCUGGAGC
rnacentral:lncRNA from 1 species